rnacentral:misc_RNA from 1 species
UCUCCGUAGGUGAACCUGCGGAGGGAUCAUUACCAGAGAUGGCGGGCCCCCGCCCCCCCGUCCCCAACCCUUUGUUGACCAAACCACUUUUGCCCCGGGGGCAGAGCGGCCGCCGCCUCCCCCGGAAGACCAUUUAACCCUGUCUCUGUACGUCGGAGUCUUCGAUAAAUAAAUGAAAACUUUUAACAACGGAUCUCUUGGUUCUG